GACGAACGCUGGCGGCGUGCCUAAUACAUGCAAGUCGAACGCAGUGGGGACGGGUGGGUAACACGUGGGUAACCUCCCAUCAGAAGGGGAUAACACUUGGAAACAGGUGCUAAACCGAUACUGAUGGAUGGACCAGCGGUCCGUUAGCUAGUUGGGGAGGUAGCGGCUCACCAAGGCCACGAUGCAUAGCCGACCGGAGAGGGGGACCGGCCACACUGGGACUGAGCAACGGCCCAGACUCCUACGGGAGGCAGCAGGAGGGAAUCUUCGGCAAUGGACGAAAUUCUGACCGAGCAACGCCGCGUGAGUGAAGAAGGUUUUCGGAUCGUAAAACUCUGUUGUUAGAGAAGCGGUAUCUAACCAGAAAGCCACGGCUAACUACGUGCCAGCAGCCGCGGUAAUUC
rnacentral:rRNA from 1 species